rnacentral:rRNA from 1 species
UACAGAGGGUGCAAGCGUUGUUCGGAAUCAUUGGGCGUAAAGGGCGCGUAGGCGGUCUAGCAAGUCAAAUGUGAAAGCCCAGGGCUCAACCUUGGAAGUGCAUCUGAAACUGCUAGACUAGAAUCUCGGAGAGGGUGGUGGAAUUCCCAGUGUAGAGGUGAAAUUCGUAGAUAUUGGGAGGAACACCGGUGGCGAAGGCGACCACCUGGACGAAGAUUGACGCUGAGGCGCGAGAGCGUGGGGAGCAAACAG